GCUGCGCUUGAAAGCUGUAUCAUUAAGACGGAGCACAUGUCAGCAGCCGGGGAAGGAUAACUACAAAUCUCGCAAACGCCGGCCCCUGAUUCCACGUCCGCACACACGCCCGGUGGCCUUUCCUCCUUCCAGGCGACAGCUGCGUUCCGUGAGGAAACCGGUGCUCAGCCUCCCUGCUUUCUGCUAAGGUCACCCAACAAACGAGGACAGCUCCUUCCGCCGGCCCACAAGGUCGGCCCACAGCGUGAACGUGGGUGUGACUCAAAACGAACACAAAACGAAGGAGAUGGAGACAACUAAUCAGAGGCUGACAGAUCGUACGAGGUAUGAUCCAACCCCACUCCCCGGCUCAGACUCAGCGCUAACGACCUCACAAUUACAAUCCAGAUUGAUCCUCUUCCAAAGGCGUGUCAAGUGCUGAAUGCAUGAUACAGCUCACUCUCCUCUGAGGUUGCUAAAAAUGAGGAAGAAAGGAGGGCUUAAUAUACUACGUCAACGAGCCAGAGAAUAACAAGACAUACAGCUCACCCAUCACAGCCGACAGCUGUCAGAAAGGGCCCUAAGAAGCCACUUCCUGCAUCUGUCAUAGGCUCCACUCCGAAACUUUAAUGGCCUCCCGGUUUGUCUUAUUAGGUGAUAGAGAAAGCAGACAGGCCCGGCUGAGUUGUG